CACGAACGCUGGCGGCGUGCCUAAUACAUGCAAGUCGAGCGGAAGUUGGAGAGCUUGCUCUUCAACUUUAGCGGCGGACGGGUGAGUAACACGUGGGCAACCUGCCCUGCAGAUCGGGAUAACUCCGGGACACCGGUGCUAAUACCGAAUAGUUUUCGCCACCUCCUGGUGGCGUACGGAAAGACGGUUUCGGCUGUCACUGCAGGAUGGGCCCGCGGCGCAUUAGCUAGUUGGUGGGGUAACGGCCCACCAAGGCGACGAUGCGUAGCCGACCUGAGAGGGUGAUCGGCCACACUGGGACUGAGACACGGCCCAGACUCCUACGGGAGGCAGCAGUAGGGAAUCUUCCGCAAUGGACGAAAGUCUGACGGAGCAACGCCGCGUGAGUGACGAAGGUUUUCGGAUCGUAAAACUCUGUUGUGAGGGAAGAACAAGUACCAACUAACUACUGGUACCUUGACGGUACCUCACCAGAAAGCCACGGCUAACUACGUGCCAGCAGCCGCCGCCGUAA
rnacentral:rRNA from 1 species